UAAGGAAUAUUGGUCAAUGGGCGCAAGCCUGAACCAGCCAUGCCGCGUGCAGGAAGAAGGCCCUCUGGGUUGUAAACUGCUUUUAUCAGGGGAUAAGUAAAGGCUAUACGCCGUUGUGAAGGUACCUGAUGAAUAAGCCACGGCUAACUACGUGCCAGCAGCCGCGGUAAUACGUAGGUGGCAAGCGUUGUCCGGAUUUACUGGGUUUAAAGGGUGCGUAGGCGGCAAAAUAAGUCAGUGGUUAAAUCGUGUGGCUCAACCAUACCCCGCCAUUGAUACUGUUAUGCUUGAAUACCUGUGAGGAAGCUGGAAUACGUGGUGUAGCGGUGAAAUGCAUAGAUAUCACGUAGAACACCGAUUGCGAAGGCAGGCUUCUGACAGGCGAUUGACGCUGAGGCAC
rnacentral:rRNA from 1 species